rnacentral:lncRNA from 1 species
ACACGAUAGGCAUAUGGUUAAUAACCCAAGUGGCUGGCCCAAGCUAGUCCGGCCUAAAACAAAAUGGGCCUUUGCACCUACAGUAUCUAAAUAGGAGCCAUCGCUUGAACCGCUGAUAUAGACAUUGGGUGAGCUUCAUUCAACAAUUCAACUUUGUCAUCAAGCAUAAGUCAGGACCAUAUGAACAAGAUGCAAAUUUCAGCAA